AGGGGCCAUUCCACGGUUUCUGUGUCGCAGCUAACGCAUUAAGUUCCCCGCCUGGGGAGUACGGCCGCAAGGCUAAAACUCAAAGGAAUUGACGGGGGCCCGCACAAGCGGCGGAGCAUGCGGAUUAAUUCGAUGCAACGCGAAGAACCUUACCAAGGCUUGACAUAUACCGGAAACGUCCAGAGAUGGUCGCCCCGCAAGGUCGGUAUACAGGUGGUGCAUGGUUGUCGUCAGCUCGUGUCGUGAGAUGUUGGGUUAAGUCCCGCAACGAGCGCAACCCUCGUUCUAUGCUGCCAGCACGUUAUGGUGGGAACUCAUAGGAGACUGCCGGGGUCAACUCGGAGGAAGGUGGGGAUGACGUCAAAUCACCAUGCCCCUUAUGUCUUGGGCUUCACGCAUGCUACAAUGGCCGAUACAAAGGGCUGCGAUACCGCGAGGUGGAGCGAAUCCCAAAAAGUCGGUCUCAGUUCGGAUUGAGGUCUGCAACUCGACCUCAUGAAGUCGGAGUCGCUAGUAAUCGCAGAUCAGCAACGCUGCGGUGAAUACGUUCCCGGGCCUUGUACACACCGCCCGUCAAGUCAUGAAAGUCGGUAACACCCGA
rnacentral:rRNA from 1 species